rnacentral:rRNA from 1 species
AACGAACGCUGGCGGGAUGUAUAACACAGGCAAGUCGAACGAGACCUUCGGGUCUAGUGGCGCACGGGUGCGUAACGCGUGGGAACCUGCCCUUAGGUUCGGAAUAACUCCCCGAAAGGGGUGCUAAUACCGGAUAAUGUCUUCGGACCAAAGAUUUAUCGCCUUUGGAUGGGCCCGCGUUGGAUUAGCUAGUUGGUAGGGUAAAAGCCUACCAAGGCGACGAUCCAUAGCUGGUCUGAGAGGAUGAUCAGCCACACUGGGACUGAGACACGGCCCAGACUCCUACGGGAGGCAGCAGUGGGGAAUAUUGGACAAUGAGCGAAAGCCUGAUCCAGCAAUGCCGCGUGAGUGAUGCAGGCCUUAGGGUUGUAAAGCUCUUUUACCCGGGAUGAUAAUGACAGUACCGGGAGAAUAAGCUCCGGCUACCUCCGUG